AUACGGAGGGUGCAAGCGUUAUCCGGAUUCAUUGGGUUUAAAGGGUUCGCAGGCGGCGUAUUAAGUCAGUGGUGAAAUCCCGAGGCUCAACCUCGGAACUGCCAUUGAUACUGGUAUGCUAGAGUAUAGUUGGCGUUGGCGGAAUGUAUCAUGUAGCGGUGAAAUGCUUAGAUAUGAUACAGAACACCAAUCGCGAAGGCAGCUAACGAAACUAUAACUGACGCUCAGGAACGAAAGCGUGGGGAGCGAACAGGAUUAGAAACCCCGGUAGUCC
rnacentral:rRNA from 1 species